AGAAAAACUUAACAAUUAAUAAAUUGUCAAAUACAUUAAACCAAACCAAUAAACAAAAUGAUGCCCUAUCCUUAUUAGCUAGCCAUAUCUUCACUUGCUAAUACAAAAAAGUUAACAGGUAUAUUAACAACAGAUUGCCUUUACAAUUGAAGCACACAAGCACAGUUAUGUACAUGCAUGAAAAUCCGCUAUGCAUAUUAGGACUAAUACAAAUGACACAUGGACAAAAACUUUGGAAACAGCAGCCUUUUCAAGCCGUCAACAACAACAACUACCUAGUAUACUCUCACAAAGUGAGGUCUGGGAAGGGUAAUAUGUAGACAGGCCUUACCCCUACCCGAAAGGGCAGAGAGGCUGUUUNNNNNNNNNNNNNNNNNNNNNNNNNNNNNNNNNNNNNNNNNNNNNNNNNNNNUUGGCUAACCCUAGAGAGAGGCUGUUUCCAAUCGACCCUCGGAAGAGCGUUAGUAACUCCAGCAUAAUUCGCGUAAAUAAUUAUCUAAACAUAAGAACAAUAAAUAAAAAAGCAAGCAAUAAUAUCAAACAGUAACUACCAUAAAUCAUCUAAGGAUACAAAAAUCAUCUGAGAAUAGCCCUGCCAAGCUUCACCCAACCCCGGGAAAGGAGUACGAAAAAUUCUAGUAGCCCCUAUCCUACAACCCUCAUACUAGACCUCCAUACUUUCAUAUCAAUGGCCAUGUUCUCGGAAAUCUGAAUCAUGGCCAUGUCAUGCCUAAUCACCUCUCCCCAAUACCUCUUAGGCCUCCCUCUGCCUCGCCUCACGCCAACCACCGGCAAAUGCUCACAACUCCUCACCGGGGCAUCUGGACUUCUCCUCCAUACAUGCUCGAACCGCCUGAGCCUCGCUUUUCACAUCUUCUCAUCCAUCGGGGCAACCCCCACCUUCUGUCAAAUAACUACAUUCUUAAUCUUAUCUAACCUGGUGAGCCCGCAAAUCCACCUGAGCAUCCUCAUCUCUGCAACCUUCAUUCAUUCGACAUGAGAGUUCUUCACCAGCCAGCACUCCGCCCCAUACAACAUGGCAGGCCUAACCACAGCUCUAUAAAAUUUCCCCUUG
rnacentral:lncRNA from 1 species